CUCCUACGGGUGGCUGCAGUGGGGAAUAUUGGACAAUGGGGGCAACCCUGAUCCAGCGACGCCGCGUGGGUGAAGAAGGCCUGCGGGUUGUAAAGCCCUUUCGGUUGGGAAGAAAAGCUGUGACCUAACACGUUGCGGCCUUGACGUAACCAACUAAAGAAGCACCGGCUAACUCUGUGCCAGCAGCCGCGGUAAUACAGAGGGUGCGAGCGUUAAUCGGAAUUACUGGGCGUAAAGCGCGCGUAGGCGGCUUUUCAAGUCGAUUGUGAAAUCCCCGGGCUUAACCUGGGAACUGCAGUCGAGACUGUCUAGCUAGAGUAUGGGAGAGGGAAGUGGAAUUUCAGGUGUAGCGGUGAAAUGCGUAGAUAUCUGAAGGAACAUCAGUGGCGAAAGCGACUUCCUGGACCAAUACUGACGCUCAUGUGCGAAAGCGUGGGGAGCAAACAGGAUUAGAUACCCUGGUAGUCCACGCCAUAAACGAUGAGAACUGGAUGUCGGGAGGGUCUGCCUCUCGGUGUCGUAGCUAACGCGUUAA
rnacentral:rRNA from 1 species